UUGGUCAAACUUGAAAUUUUUUGACUCUCUAAGAUUCUUAGAAUGGCUUAUAAUUUGGAACGGAGGGAGUACAAUUUACUGGAGUUUUACCUCUCUGCUCUAGGGCGACAGGAAUAACAAUAACUUAAUUCCUAUUGUUUGAUUUAGUAGCAGCAUCGGCAGGAGUUGUUUUGUCACCGCAACAGCAAGAAUGCCAAUCAUCAUCAGCUUGGGUAGGUAUGCAGAUUAGCACUCCAGCAAGGUUUCAGAUGUCAGGAAUCUUGUGUGGGCCCACUCUGCAUGGAUGGAGCGAUGUGGGCUUG